rnacentral:rRNA from 1 species
UUCUAAGCGGAGGAAAGAAACUAACUAGGAUUCCCUCAGUAGCUGCGAGCGAACAGGGAAGAGCCCAGCACCGAAUCCCGCGGCCGAUACCGGGCGCCGGGAAAUGUGGUGUUAGGGAGGAUCCGUUUAUCCCGAGGUCGUGCGGUGCGUCCAAGUCCUUCUUGAACGGGGCCACAGCCCAUAGAGGGUGCCAGGCCCGUAGCGACCGCUGCCGAUCGCGGGAGGAUCUCUCCUCAGAGUCGGGUUGCUUGAGAGUGCAGCCCUAAGCGGGUGGUAAACUCCAUCUAAGGCUAAAUAUGACCACGAGACCGAUAGCGAACAAGUACCGUGAGGGAAAGUUGAAAAGCACUUUGAAGAGAGAGUUCAAGAGUACGUGAAACCGUUCAGGGGUAAACCUGAGAAACCCGAAAGGUCGAAAGGGGAAAUUCAUUCGCGUCUCGACCGUCGGAGCGGGGCGAUCGCGCGACGGACGGCGUACGCGUCGUCCGCGCCUUUCGUUCCGCGAUCCGGCGUCGAACGCGUGCACUUUUCCCCUAGUAGGACGUCGCGAUCCGUUGGGUGUCGGUCUAAGGCUCGCGGUGGAGCCCGAGCGUGCGUCUUCGGGCGUUCGCGCUCGGACCCGCGGUGUCCCGGCCGACCCGCUCGACGGUAUACAGAUGGCGCGGGGCCGCAAAUUCAAUUUGCGUUCGGCCCGCGGCAAGCGCGUACGGGUGUUGACGGCGAUCGGACCCGGUGCCGAUCCCGUCCCCGGA